AACGAACGCUGGCGGCAGGCUUAACACAUGCAAGUCGAACGAGAUCUUCGGAUCUAGUGGCAGACGGGUGAGGAACACGUGGGAACAUCCCUUUCAGUUCGGAAUAACGUUGGGAAACUAACGCUAAUACCUGAUACGUCCUUCGGGAGAAAGAUUUAUCGCUGAAAGAUUGGCCCGCGUCUGAUUAGUUAGUUGGUGAGGUAACGGCUCACCAAGGCUACGAUCAGUAGGUGAUCUGAGAGGAUGAUCAGCCACAUUGGGACUGAGACACGGCCCAAGCUCCUACGGGAGGCAGCAGUGGGGAAUAUUGGACAAUGGGCGCAAGCCUGAUCCAGCCAUGCCGCGUGAGUGAUGACGGCCUUCGGGUUGUAAAGCUCUUUUGUCCGGGAAGAUAAUGACUGUACCGGAAGAAUAAGCCCCGGCAAACUUCGUGCCAGCCGCCGCAGUAA
rnacentral:rRNA from 1 species